UAUUUUCUAUAUCUAUUUGUGUUUUGUAGUUCUACUUCUUUUUUUCAAUGUUUGAGAGUCUCUGUAUUUGAUUGAGAACCUAAAGCACUUGGAGAAUUUUGAAUUUUGUGGUUUUUGUUUGAAUUUUUUCUUGAAUAGAGCAUUGAAUUAGAAAUGCUAUGCCAAACUUGGAUAUGGGAAGAAUAGAUGGGUGAAAAUUAAGGCUUACAUGAAAAUUAGGGCUUGAAUUGGAUGUUAGGGUGAUGAGGUAAUCAAACUUGUUGAAACUAAGAUCAAACUUGGUAAAAUCACCAUUUUAAUAGUUUUUCUUUAUUUAUUUUUAAUACUGAGAUUGAGGUGCAUGAUUCUGGAUUUAAAAAAUUUUAUUUAUUUUGAAUAAUUGUUUUAAUUUUUGCCUAUCAUGAUGCUCUUACUCAGCUCAUUCUAAUGAUUUUUGGAAUUGUACUUUGUUACAAAUCAACUUGUUCUUUUAAGUUUCAAAUCUAUAUUGUUGGAUUUCUCAUUGGUCACAUAAUAUAGAUUUAAGAUAUCGGCAUCAUGUUCAAGAAUAAAGACAAGAAGUUUGUUUAAAUCCAAUAUUUAAGAAGGGGUGCAAUUUGACUUGUAUAAAAAUAAAAAAGAUGAGGUGCAAUUUGUCCAGUAUGUCGUCCUUAGAAAUUGCUAGUUGUAUCUAUCUGUCAAAAUUCAAAUGCUUGAAUAAGUAUAAAUUAAAAAAUGGCUUGAAUGAGUAAAAAAUUGUUGGUUAUGUAGAUCUAGAACUCUGGUGAAUGUACAAAAUUUAAGUUGAAGGCUUUAGAAGUUGAUCUUGAAGCUUAAGGAUGAUGGGUGCUUGAGUUCAUCCUCAGUAAAUUGAGGUUCUUAGAAGACCCUUUUUCUGUAUAUCAAUUUUUACACUGUUUGCAUUUUACUUAUUUAGUAGUGAAGGCUCUAAUUGUUGCAUGAUAACAUUAUAGUCAUAUCAGAAAAGAAAGUUUUUUUUCCUUUUUUUUUUUUUUUUUGGAUUAGCAAAGAGAGAAAAGAUAUUUUGGUUUUAAUUUUAGCUUGCUCACCAUUACAUGGGUCAAGGAUUUAGUGUUGGGAUUGAUGAUUUGGCUAAUCAAUGCCUCUGUAAGGUUGAUAUAAAGCCAUGGUUGUACUCUAAAAAAAAAAAAAAAAGUGUCUCAGAAUUUAGAAGUGGAUUCUAGUAAAAUUGAGAUUUGCUGGAACUUAACUAAUGCUAAAUUUGGUUAUGGGCCAGAGCCAGUGGAGGGAUUUUAUUAACUUGGUCUUACUCUCAGCAAUUUAGAGAUUACCAAUCACAAGUCUGCCCUUACAGUAGAGUCAUUCCCAAUAACCAAAAAUCUUAGUGAUGGAGUAUACUCUGUUUCAACAUGUAAACAAGGUGCAAUUGAAGGAGUUGUUAUUGCAACUGGAGUACAUACCUUAUUUGAAAAGGCAAUUCAUCUUGUGGAAACUACUACAAUCGAUGGACAUUUUUAGCAGGUAAUUUCAAUAUAUUAUUUUGGAUGAAAGUUUCACUUAGAAUCUCAAAGGCUGGUAGAAUGUUUGAGCUGUAAUAUUUCUAAACAGUUUCAUCUUUUUUGCUUGGAGGUAAUGGGGUAAUGAUAGGUAACAAUGUGAAAGAGUUUUGCACUUGUUUUGUGAGAAUCUGUCAAUGUUUGGGUAUUUGAUGAGUUACCAUUUGCCUUGAUCAUUCAGGUCAUAAUUGCAAUAGGAAACUUCAGUAUUUGCUCGAUUGCCAUUGGGCUGGUAAUAGAAAUCAUUGUCAUAUAUGGGAUUCAUCACAGGGGUAAUCAUGUUGGGGUAGAUAAGCUUCUUAUGAGAAAGAUGUUUAUGUGCCAAACAAUUCUGAGUGGACCCUUAACAUAUAAACAAUAUCUCAUCUAAAAUCCUUCUCAAUUGUUGGGUAUGUUACUAGAUGAAACAUUUUGUAGUUUUUGUCAUAAUGGUUACUCCUGCUUAGUUGGGUACUUCUUCUUCUUCAAUGCCAUCUUUGCUGCCACCACAUCCAAGCUCACCACUAGUGUAUCCAGAUUUAUAUGGCAAGCUUUGAAAAAUGGCUAAGGUUCAAGUACUUAAAAUAGAGAUUGGCUCUGUUGAGGUCAGUUUACUAGAUAAAACAUUUUGUAGUUUGUGUGCUAAUGGUUACUCCUACAUAGUUGGGUAGUUCUUCUCGGUACAAUCUUUGCUGCCACUACAUCCAAGAUCACCAUCAACUUAUUCAGAUUUGUACGGCAAGCUCUGGGAAAUGGCUAAGGUUCAAGUACUUAAAAGUACUCUCCAAAUACUUUUUAGUGUACAAGGAUUUUAAGUGUACUAUUCAACAAAUGUUUUGUGUAGCAUGUAGUGAUUCCUAUUUCAAAUUUAAGAAUGUAAAUGGCAGUAGGCAGAGUAGUUGAGUUGUGUUGAUUUGUACUGUUUGUUUCAUUGUGUUAAAAAAAGAGUAGUUUAUUGAUUGUUGUAAUUCAA